AGUUGGUUGUCCAAGCUGGAGUACAGCAGCAUGGUCAUAGCUCACUGGAGCCUCCAACUCCUUGGUUCAAGCACUCUUCCUAUCUCUGCAUAGCUAUGACUACAGGAUACUUGUCAUUGAAUUAAAGAUCCAGCCGGAUAAUCCAGGAUGACUUCAUCAUCUCAACAUCCUUAAGUGGACUGUAUCCGCCAAUACUCUUCUUUCAAUAAGCUGACAUGCAGAUCACCAAGUCCCGAGAUUGCACAAAGCAGCAAGGCCCUGGGAUGAGUCCAGG
rnacentral:lncRNA from 10 species